GCCAACCAUCCCAUAUUUGUGGAGAAUUUUGUGGGGUUUUGAAUUUUGAAUUCAAAAUUCAAGUUCAUGUGCCAUUACAUGAUGAAGCUUGAUCUAAACUAAACCAUUCAUCAUGUUGCCACUUUCCUCUUUCAAUUUCGAAAUUCCCAUGCCCCCAAUCAGAUUAGAGGGUCACGUGGUGAUUUUGUGGUGAUUAAAUUCGAAAUUCAACCUUAAUUAGAAGUGAGAUAAAAAUAAGGAUGACAUAUGCCAUGAAGAGAGAGAAUUUGAUCUUAUCCAAUUCUUU
rnacentral:lncRNA from 1 species